rnacentral:rRNA from 1 species
AUGUACAGAGGACAUUAUGUUCUUGAUGCGUUGAGAUUCCAAGCCGCCCUCGACGAGGAGGGGGAGGAGGAGGUGAGCCGCUCAUUGACUGCACUGUGUAAAUCCAGUCCAGCCAAACGGCUUCGUUUCUCGCGCACCAGCAGAAGCAGAAGCAACAGAGAAGCACUGGUAAUUGGCACAAAUAGGAACAUGCGAGAAGAGCUGCAACAGAUGGUUGAUACCCUUGAAGACACCUUGGAUGGUAUGAAGGAGUUUCUUUUCUUCUUGGAGUUAUAUCCUCGGAUGCUCCGCCAACCUUACGGCGCAUAUUUGUUCUUGGACAAUUGCAUGUUUGGUCGCCAAACGGAACGGCAGCGGAUCCUGAAUUUCUUGAUGUGUCCUAGUGCUACUCCAGAUUUGGAUAUACUUCCGAUCGUUGGUCCAAUAAGAGUAGGGAAGAGCACUCUUGUUGAGCAUGUCUGUAGGAAUGAGAGUGUGCGUGAUCGCUUCUCGAUGAUCCUCUUCUUUCCAGAAGGCAGUGUCAAGGAUGAAGGAGUGAUCGACCUGAGAGAAAACAAUAUUAAAUUCAGAAAUCAGAAUUUUGCUUCUCCAAACAGGUUCCUGAUUAUUAUUGAAAUAGCCAAGGAUAUUAACGAUGAAACAUGGAGAAGGCUGAAAUCUUCCACAACCUGCAUGACACCUUGUGGCGGGAGCAAAAUCAUAAUUACCAGUCGGUCAGAUAGAAUUGUGAAUCUGGGAACAACAGAAGCACUUCGACUGGACUAUCUCUCUCAAGAAGCUUAUUGGCAUUUUUUCAAGUCGAUUGCAUUUGGAAGCACAAACCCUGCUGGCGAGCAUCCAAAACUGGCAACUAUGGCCAUGGAGAUCGCUUUGGAACUGCGACAGUGUUUCACAAGCGCGCAUAUUGCUGCUGGGAUAUUGCGAGAUAACUUGAAUGCUCGAUUCUGGCGCACAGUUCUUGAGUGUGUAAGAGAAAGUAAACAGACAAAUCUCCUUAUGUUUGACCAGCACCCAUACCUUCGUUUGCGGGAAGAUGCACCGGUGUAUUGCUGGAGAUUGGUAAAGAAACACAGAUAUUUCUUGAUUUGCAACUAUCAUCCUUCAGAUUCCAGUGAGAAUGUCCCCAAGAUCAAUCUGCGGGACAUCAUGUUAGGAUGUGGUGGUAAACAACCCUGUGGAGAAUUUGAGGCUCUUGCAUGGAGGUCACGCAUACCGCCCUACUACAACUACAGGGUAAGCUGUAAGAUGCAAGCACCACAACUUAGAGUAGGAAGAAAGAAGCGCGUGCAUCAAGAGGAAGAACAUUUUGUUUGA